GACGAACGCUGGCGGCGUGCUUAACACAUGCAAGUCGAGCGGUAAGGCCCUUUCGGGGGUACACGAGCGGCGAACGGGUGAGUAACACGUGGGUGACCUGCCCUCAGCUCUGGGAUAAGCCUGGGAAACUGGGUCUAAUACUGGAUAUGACUCCACGGUGCAUGUCGUGGGGUGGAAAGCCUUGUGCGGCUGAGGAUGGGCCCGCGGCCUAUCAGCUUGUUGGUGGGGNGAUGGCCUACCAAGGCGACGACGGGUAGCCGGCCUGAGAGGGCGACCGGCCACACUGGGACUGAGACACGGCCCAGACUCCUACGGGAGGCAGCAGUGGGGAAUUUUGGACAAUGGGCGAAAGCCUGAUCCAGCGACGCCGCGUGUGCGAUGAAGGCCUUUGGGGUCGUAAAGCACUGUCGACAGGGAAGAAAACUCAGCGGCUAAUAAUCGUUGAGCUUGACUGUACCUGUGGAGGAAGCACCGGCUAACUCUGUGCCAGCAGCC
rnacentral:rRNA from 1 species